rnacentral:rRNA from 1 species
UGCCAGCAGCCGCGGUAAUACGGAGGGAGCUAGCGUUGUUCGGAAUUACUGGGCGUAAAGCGCACGUAGGCGGCUUUUCAAGUCAGGGGUGAAAUCCCGGGGCUCAACCCCGGAACUGCCCUUGAAACUGGAUGGCUAGAAUACUGGAGAGGUGAGUGGAAUUCCGAGUGUAGAGGUGAAAUUCGUAGAUAUUCGGAAGAACACCAGUGGCGAAGGCGACUCACUGGACAGUUAUUGACGCUGAGGUGCGAAAGCGUGGGGAGCAAACAGGAUUAGAUA